rnacentral:rRNA from 1 species
UACGUAGGUGGCAAGCGUUGUCCGGAUUUACUGGGCGUAAAGAGCGCGCAGGCGGUCUUGUCAGUCGAAUGUGAAAGCCCCUGGCUCAACUGGGGAGGGUCAUUCGAUACUGCUCGACUCGAAGGCAGGAGAGGGAAGCGGAAUUCCCGGUGUAGUGGUGAAAUGCGUAGAUAUCGGGAGGAACACCAGUGGCGAAGGCGGCUUUCUGGCCUGUUCUUGACGCUGAGGCGCGAAAGCUAGGGGAGCAAACGGG